rnacentral:rRNA from 1 species
UACGUAGGGGGCUAGCGUUGUCCGGAAUCAUUGGGCGUAAAGCGCGUGUAGGCGGCCCGGUAAGUCCGCUGUGAAAGUCGGGGGCUCAACCCUCGGAUGCCGGUGGAUACUGUCGGGCUUGAGUACGGAAGAGGCGAGUGGAAUUCCUGGUGUAGCGGUGAAAUGCGCAGACAUCAGGAGGAACACCGAUUGCGAAGGCAGCUCGCUGGGACGUUACUGACGCUGAGACGCGAAAGCGUGGGGAGCGAACAGG